ACGCUUUCUAUAGGAAGCCAGGUGGACCUUUGUGUUUUCUGGGUUAGGAGCAACUGACACGCUCUUGGUUUCAUAGCUGUGAGCAGUGCUUCAAAAGCAUAAUUCUGCAGAAGAACAUUCCUAGGAUGUGCAAACAAAAGAACAGAGGCCCAGGAAGCUGUACAAAGGCCAUGGAGGUGCACCAAGUGGUUCUACAUGAGUUUCUCCAGCUCUGAAUAAUGUGAAGAAUUUAAGGGCAGCUCUGGGAUUGCUUGUGUGACAACUGAAAAUUCAUAGAUGAAAGAAAUGAAGGACAAAAGGAAAGACAACUGUCACUUUCCUGACGUUUCCAGUUUACAAGCUGUCAAAGAAAUUCUACUUCGGUAGCAUUUCAGACCUACAAAUCUACAAAGCUAUUCUGGGCUGCCGUGAUGUAAUAGACAGUGAAUGUACCCAGCAUCAUUGAGUGACCUCCUCAUGGACCAUGAAGGAAAGCCCUGAAUUUUAAGGGGAAUGAUCUGCCUUCUGCUUGUAGGAUGAACCUCACUAAAUGAAGAGCCACCAAAGGAGAAAAGGAGUUCAGAAAGGAUGAUUGCUGAUGGUAUGAGCUACUGGAUAACAGCAAUAAUUACACCAUUUCUUACCAGAUGGAGAUAACACUAUACAAGGACCUUGAUGGCUGAGGAGGGCAGAAGGCAGACUCUGACACCUCAUCAGUCUCCACCUGAUAGGGCAAUGUUAUACUCCUCUCUAUGAAAACAGUGGAAGUAGUGCUAAAGCUCUGCAGCAACAUGGAUGGAAAUGUUUAAGAGUCUUCAGUUCUAAACUGCUUCCCAGCAAUGAUUAAAAUCAAACAAUGAUUAAAAGCAGUUUAAUCAUACAUCCUGUACUUUGCCACUAUUACAAAUCAAAACAAACAAACC